UGUCGUCAGCUCGUGUCGUGAGAUGUUGGGUUAAGUCCGUAACGAGCGCAACCCUUGUCCUUAGUUACCAGCACGUUAUGGUGGGCACUCUAAGGAGACUGCCGGUGACAAACCGGAGGAAAGGUGGGGAUGACGUCAAGUCAUCAUGGCCCUUACGGCCUGGGCUACACACGUGCUACAAUGGUCGGUACAAAGGGUUGCCAAGCCGCGAGGUGGAGCUAAUCCCAUAAAACCGAUCGUAGUCCGGAUCGCAGUCUACAACUCGACUGCGUGAAGUCGGAAUCGCUAGUAAUCGUGAAUCAGAAUGUCACGGUGAAUACGUUCCCGGGCCUU
rnacentral:rRNA from 1 species